rnacentral:rRNA from 1 species
GACGAACGCUGGCGGCGUGCUUAACACAUGCCAGUCGAACGGAAAGGCCUGCUUUCCCUUGUGGAUUGCGGGUACUCGAGUGGCGAACGGGUGAGUAACACGUGAGUGAUCUGCCCCCAACUUGGGUAUAAGCCUGGGAAACUGGGUCUAAUUCCCGAUAGGACUGCAGGGUGGUGCCUGUGGUGGAAAACGAUUUUCUAGUGGUUGGGGAUGAGCUCGCGGCCUAUCAGCUUGUUGGUGGGGUAAUGGCCUACCAAGGCGGCGACGGGUAGCCGGCCUGGGAGGGUGGACGGCCGCAUUGGGACUGAGAUACGGCCCAGACUCCUACGGGAGGCAGCAGUGGGGAAUAUGGCACAAUGGGCGGAAGCCUGAUGCAGCGACGCCGCGUGGGGGAUGACGGCCUUCGGGUUGUAAACUCCUUUCGACCGCGAGGAAGCCACCUGGUUGGAAGGGUGGUGACGGUAGUGGGAGAAGAAGCACCGGCUAACUACGUG